GUUUAACCACAAUGGUUACAACCGUGUUCACUGUCAAGAGCGACAGCAGAGCGGAUGUCUGCUGAGUAAACGCCGUGUUGUUGACUGCUGUCACAGUUUUGUAACUGUACAGGGUCGCAGUAGAUGGCAACCCAAACAGCUGACAGUUGCACAGAAAGAGGAAGGCAGAGGCUUGAGAGUCCCAAAAGUGUCGGCAUCAGAGCUUCUCUGAAAACUGUGUAAAAGGAGUGGACGUAGCCACUGUGACAUCAUGCCUUUGUUUGUGGACUGCAGUUUUGAAGCCACAAGUUGGGCAUUUUGGCCAUCGCCAUCUUGGUGUGUUGGAUCCAGAAGUGACCAUAUUUGGAUGACAGGGUGGAGCUGUGGUGGAUUUCACUGAGAACCCAAUCACAAGGUUCCUCCUGGAUGCGUGCUGCUUACAAUCUGUUACCAGGAUGAAAUCUGUGCUCUGCUUAAAGUCGACUCUCAAGAGGGACGUGUCGAGAUGGGUCAGAAACCUCCAAUUCAGCCCGUUUAUGGCUACUUUGGAGAGGAGAGAAAGUGGACAGUAUCUGUCACGGGAUGACAUCAGAGCCAAUAACCAUUCAACAGACAGUUUAAAAAAACGUCAUUAUGGCAUCUUCAUUUAUCGCUGUCUUAUUUUUACUUUCUUUCAUUUCUUUUACCACUGUUUGUCUUUUCUUGUAUGUUGUGUAUGCAGAUUUUUUGUUUUCUUUGUUUUAUUGUUGUUUACAUUGUUGUUUUGUUUCAUUUUUAAUGAGCAGUAAUGUCAGUUUUUUAUUUGUUUAAACAGGGGAGAACUCUAAACAAGCCUUUCGGGCUCCCUUCCUCUCCUGCAGUGAAGUUACUGUCUUUUCUAUUGCAUGUAUUUUGUUUGUUUUUUUUAUUACUGUGCAAAUAAAUAAAUAAAAUAAACUGUGUGGCAAAACUAUCCACUCGUCCAUAGAUGGCCCCGGUCCUACUGAAUCAUAAACUUGAGUGUUUGUGAUGGAGAGUGAGGAGCAGUGUGCUGAUGGGAAAGAGCUCGUAUGAUCAGCCAACCCAGCAUGUGUAAAUAAACAUUAAAUAAAUAACAAACUGCUCUGGUAGCUAGG